rnacentral:rRNA from 1 species
CCUACGGGAGUCAGCAGUGAGGAAUAUUGGUCAAUGGACGAGAGUCUGAACCAGCCAAGUAGCGUGAAGGAUGACUGCCCUAUGGGUUGUAAACUUCUUUUAUAUGGGAAUAAAAUGUUCCACGUGUGGGAUUUUGUAUGUACCAUAUGAAUAAGGAUCGGCUAACUCCGUUCCAGCAGCCGCGGUAAUACGGAGGAUCCGAGCGUUAUCCGGAUUUAUUGGGUUUAAAGGGAGCGUAGGUGGAUUGUUAAGUCAGUUGUGAAAGUUUGCGGCUCAACCGUAAAAUUGCAGUUGAAACUGGCAGUCUUGAGUACAGUAGAGGUGGGCGGAAUUCGUGGUGUAGCGGUGAAAUGCUUAGAUAUCACGAAGAACUCCGAUUGCGAAGGCAGUUCACUGGACUGCAACUGACACUGAGGCUCGAAAGUGUGGGUAUCAAACAGGAUUAGAUACCCUUGUAGUC